AUUGAACGCUGGCGGAAUGCUUUACACAUGCAAGUCGAACGGUAGAGGGGGCAACCCCUCGAGAGUGGCGAACGGGUGAGUAAUAUAUCGGAACGUGCCCAGUCGUGGGGGAUAACGUAGCGAAAGUUACGCUAAUACCGCAUACGAUCCAAGGAUGAAAGCGGGGGAUCGCAAGAACUCGCGCGAUUGGAGCGGCCGAUAUCAGAUUAGGUAGUUGGUGGGGUAAAGGCUCACCAAGCCAACGAUCUGUAGCUGGUCUGAGAGGACGACCAGCCACACUGGAACUGAGACACGGUCCAGACUCCUACGGGAGGCAGCAGUGGGGAAUUUUGGACAAUGGACGCAAGUCUGAUCCAGCCAUUCCGCGUGCAGGAUGAAGGCCCUCGGGUUGUAAACUGCUUUUGUACGGAACGAAAAGGUCUCUCUUAAUACGGGGGGCUCAUGACGGUACCGUAAGAAUAAGCACCGGCUAACUACGUGCCAGCAGCCGCCGUAA
rnacentral:rRNA from 1 species